rnacentral:snRNA from 1 species
AUCGCUUCUCGGCCUUUUGGCUAAGAUCAAGUGUAGUAUCUGUUCUUAUCAGUUUAAUAAUAUUAUUGGCCAAUUCCUCGUUUUGCCCUAAAAGGUCACAGAUAAUACUCUCACUCUAC